CUUUUUGUCUUUUUAUAAGAUGCAUUUUGGAAAAGAUUAUACUUGUACAUGUUACAACAUUCAAAAGGUAAAGAUAGUCAUACAAUGAAAAGUCCAUCUCCCUUCCACCCCACCCAAUUCUCCUCCUAAAAAGCAACGAUUCUUACUAGUUUCUUGUCCAUCUUACAAAAAGUGUGAGAUAGUCUGUGUUACAUAUGUGAUAAUUACGUGUGUUUCACACAUGGGCUAUUUAGCAUAUACUCUAUUCCAUGUACAUUUUUUCCACUUAAUAUAUUCUGGAGGUCCUUCCAUAUUAGUGCAUAACAAGGUGGCCCCAACUUUUUAAUGACUACUUAAUGUUCCACUUUUUAAUGACUACCUAAUUUCAGAUGUAUGAAAAUGUACCUAAUCUUUAUUAAUGAAUGUUUGGGCAGUUUCCUUCUUUCGCUAUUACAAACAAUGGUUUAACGAGCAACGCUGUGUUAUAUGUACUCUACACACAUGCAAUUCUAUCUAUAGGAUAAAUCCUUAGAGAUGAAAUUCUUGAGGAAAGGUCAUGUGCAUUUGAAAAUGUUUAAGUCUAUAUCAACUUAUACUUUCUGCAGCAGUUUUUAUUUUCAACUUAUUACGAAUGAGAUUGAAUAUUUUUAUGUAAGUUUAAAGUCAUUUAUACUUCCUUUUCUGUUAACUCUAUAGCCUUUGUCUAUUAUUCAACUAGGUUGUUUUUUAAAAACAUGCUUUUGAAGAAACUUUUAUAUUUUGAGACCAUUAGCACCUUGUUCAUUACACAAGUUGGAAAUUUUCUUCCCAGUUUGUCAUUUGUCUUUAAUUUUGCUUAUAUUUUUCUUUAUAUGUAGAAUGUGUUUUUAAUUGUUAGAUUCAUUCAUCUUUUCUUUUACGGUUUCUGGGUUUGAGGUCAUACUUAGGCUUUCUGACUCCAGGAUUAAAAAGAUACAUAUUGUCUUACAUUUUCCACUGGCAAUUUCAUUAAUUUUAUUUUUAAUGACCAGACCCUUGAUAUCUGUGGAAUUUCUUUUGGUGGGUGUUAGGCGUAAGAUAGGGCAUCUUAAUUUUUUCAGAUAACCAUCCAGGGUCAAACACCAUUUAUGGAGUAAUCCAUUUUCCAUUGAUUUGAAUUGCUACUUUUAUUAUAUACAAAAUUUCCCAGUUCUUCUGGGUCUAUUUCUGGACUUUUUAUUCAGUUUUAAUACUACUAUUAAAUGAUGUAGAUCAGGAAGAAUUUAGAGUACAUUGAAGCUUAAGAAAAAUGCUAUGUUGUAUGACAAUUACAGGAAACCAUAAGACACAAAUACUAUAAAUAUUCCUCCUAGCAUUAAUUCUUGCUUGUUGAUUCAUUUACCUUUCCCCUCCCUGGCACAUUCUUUCUUUCUUUCUUUAAGGAGAAAAUUCCCAAGUGGCCAUUUGGAAUUUUUCUGGCUUUUUUAACCCAAAGGGAUUUCUCUUCCCCAUCUUGAGCGAAGCAACUCCAAUUAUUUACUUAUGCCAUACAGCUGCCAAGAAAUUCCUCUUCCUCCUUUUAUGUGAACUUGAAAGGUCAAAGCAUAAUCAAGUCCAUUUAUUUAUUUAUUUAUUUUGUCUUUUUGCUAUUUCUUUCGGCCACUCCCGUGGUAUAUGCAGGUUCCCAGGCUAGGGGUCGAAUCAGCGCUGUAGCCACCGGCCUACGCCAGAGCCACAGCAAUGCAGGAUCCGAGCUGCAUCUGUGACCUACACCACAGCUCACGGCAAUGCCGGAUCGUUAACCCACUGAGCAAGGGCAGGGACCGAACCCGCAACCUCAUGGUUUCUAGUCGGAUUCGUUAACCACUGCGCCACGAGGGGAACUCCACAAUCAAGUCCAUUUAAAAAGCCAUCAGACUCACAGGAUGAUGACACAUAAUCAAAAUGUAUACAGCCAAUGUUUUUCUACAGCCUGGAUAGCUAUUCGCUUGAUUCCUUUUUAAUCAUACAAUGAUGAGAAUCUCAGGAUGUCUACAUUCCUUUCUCAUAAACCCCAGGGACUCUCUCUGCCCCAAAUUCUAUCUACCCACAUCCACCUCAACUUCUGUCCACCACAAAGUACGAGUUUUUUCUAAUUAGUACUAAUUAUAACCAUAAUUAACACGCUGUGCUGUGUGUCAUGGGGCUAGUACCCAAGCAGAGGGAGGACACAGAGGAGGGCUUCUCUCUUCUGUGCUGCUCUCCAGAAAUAAGUAAGGGAAGACUUCUGCCUGGUAUAGUGCCCUGUGAAAAGCUAGACUGCAUACUAAAUUAAGAUAUUUACUGGAGUUCUGGUCAUGGCUCAGCAGUGACGAACCCAGAUAGUAUCCAUGAGGAUGGAGAUUUGAUCCCGAGCCUUGCUCAAUGGGUUAAGGACCUGGCAUUGCUGUGGCUGUGGUGUAGGUCACAGACGUGGCUCAGAUCCUGAGUUGCUGUGGCUAUGGUGUAGGCCAGCAGCUACAGCUCUACCUAGACCUCUAGCCUGGAAAUUUCCACAUGCCACAGGGGUGGCCCUAAAAAAAAAAAAAAAGAUAAUUAUCGAACACAAAAUUCUGGUCAAGUGUGUGCUGCUCUUAAAUAAUGGUGCAUAAAUGUUAAAAGAAGGUGAGAAGAUAUCAAAAACUCUAUUAGUUACAAACGGAAUUUUCAACUCAGCCACAUAUAACAACCACUGGCAAAAAUGAAGUCACAUUCGAAAUAACAGAAUAAACUGCCCAAACCUGAAAAUUAAAAUUAAAAUAUAAAAUGAGAAAAAAUGAAAUAAACCAUUUCCCUAUUUUAUUGGAUGGAAGACACAAAUUUGAUUUUUAGAUCUCUGGCAAUACCUAAGAGAAAGCUCUGAAAUAUUAAGAGUAAAAGAACACAUACAUGGUAAAUAAGUAAAUACUUCGUAAGAAAUGAAGAGAAAACAGUAAGAUGACAAUGACAGAAUUUGCAAUAAAAUAACAAAAUAUCCAUUUUAAUAUCUUAAAUGAAUGUAAAGUUUGUGGAUUUAUCCUCAAGAAUGAUGUAACCAAUCCCCUUACUAAGAAAUGAUAAAAGAAAGAGAAAACUUUGCAUUUUGAAAAUCAGCAUUCCUUUUUAAUCAUCAAUUUAAUAUAACUGUUUAAUUUUCUUCAGAAUUUCACAAUGGAGCGUUACUUGUUACUUAACUCAGAUCUUACGUAGAUAAUCCAAAUACUUCGUUGCAGACUCAUUUCCUCAUAUCUCAUCUUUCAAAACAAAUUCAUUUGGAGACAUUUAACAGUAAGCAGUUAUCAGUAUCCUCCAUCCUAACAGACUCUGCAGAGGAAGGGGAAGAUCCUAAAGAAGCUUCAGUCUAUUAUAAAGCUUCAAACCCAUUAGAAGUUUUUAUGCCUUAUUAUUUUG
ensembl:lncRNA